UCCAUGAACAGCAGCGGUCGGCGCGACUCCGUGAACAGCAGCAGUCGACGGUUUCAGGCGAGGAGCUCGCCUUGGUGCUCCACGAGCAGUCAGCGGCAGCAGCUCCACGCGGCGGCCUCGCUGGCGACCGGAACGGCCAGGACGCGGGGAGGGGAUGGCCGGAAUCGAGCGAGAGAGAGAGAUGUUGAGCAGUGUCCGAUUCUUGAUUUUAGAGAGAUGAUGAAUAGUGUGUGAGUGUGUUAUGAGAAAGAGAAAGAGAUGUGCAGUGUUUCUUCCUUAAUAAUUGAGAGAGAGGGAGUGUAUGCUUUAAAAAAAAAAGGGGGAAGAAUCGAUGAUGAUGGUGAUUAAAGAAAAUGGUGGGUUAGGCUUUUAAAGAAAAUGGGGAACCGAUGUUAGUGAAAAAAAAAAAGAGAGAUAAGGAAUUUUUACUUUAAUAAAGAUAGAGAGAUUUGAUGAUUAAAAGAGAUAGUGGGUGUGAGUGUUUGGUGGUGACUGAUAAGAGAGAGAGAGAUAAAUAAUAAAGUGUGUGUGUGCGUGUAUGAUUCUAAAAGAAAGGGGAAAAAGGAAGUUUGGAGUUUGGGCCGGG
rnacentral:lncRNA from 1 species